CUUCAAUGCCAAUAAUGUUUGAUGCUAAUGGGUAUAAGAUGACCGCAACGACCAGCCAACCUGAAUAAAGUGUUGACCUGGGCAGGGCUUUCCUAAUGAGGGUACAUCUUUGUAACCACAGGCGCAUGUUAGUCCACACUUAUAAAUAACUGGGACAGCCACCAGGCUCUUUUGUCUAGGGCACUGUUUAACUGACGUGUGUCCCAGCGAGAGGGCUCAUUGUUGGAAUCAUCCCCCAAAAGGAGGAAGUGGCUGAAGAACAUUUAGAUUUAGAGUAUCCUUGCUACGCAUUUUUCCUACUUUUAACUAGAGGGCUUGUGUGAGCAUCCUACCCUUAGUCUGCACCUGAUUAAUAACUGAGAAAGGAAAGUUCCAGAUGAGUUUUCCUGAUGCACACGAAGAAGCAGCUUGGCUUAGUGGAUAAAGUCCUGCACUUGAACUACUCAAGAGACACAGGUCUGCCACUGACUGCUGGAUGGCCUGGGCCAAACCCAGGGAACCUAUCAACUUACAGAAGGCAACUGGAAAGUUUACAAGAGAGUGACCACUACUGCACAUUAUUUCAACAUGUGUUGAACAUAAGAACAUAACAUAAGAAUGGUCAUACUGGGUCAGCCCAAAGGCCCAUCUAGCCCCGUGUCCUGUCUUCUGACAGUGGUCAAUGCCAGGUGCUUCAGAGGGAAUUAAUAGAACAGCUCAACUACUUUUGGAUGAUCCUAUAGGUCUGAAUGCUAUGUUUGUCAUAUCACAAUAAAUUCAAGGACAACGGACGAUGUCAUAAAUGCAAGAUUAUGACAACUUCACUACUGGAUUGAGAAGCAUGGAGAAGUGGAGUGGAAAAAUGCUAUUCAAACAUAAAUACUGGCAGAAAUAGCACAGUAGAUUACAGGAGAAGUGUUUCUUUGUGCACAGUACACAUGUAUUCCUUGAGACAAUAUGCCUUUUUUCCAACAAUGGAUACAUUUUGGAGGGCUAAAUCCGGAGACACUACACAGGAAGUAAGAUCCAACUCUUUGUCAUUCAGAAUGCUCAUUAGAAUAAAGCACUAAUUCAGCCAUCCUUAUUUAUAAAAUAUUGCAAGGAGGAAGGGAGGUCCUUAGUCACUCACUCAGUCACCUGACUGUUUUUAUUGAGAUCUCGCUGUCUCACUAAUCAUUGUACAUGGUUCUAAGGCACCAAUUACCCUAUCUUGGCUAUGGUUAUGUUUUCUAAAGCCCGAUUCAGGUCUCAUUUACAUCAGUGGAAAGAUACCCACAGACUUCAGUGGCGGUUGGAGCAACCCCUUGAUAAACAGGCUACAGCCGAAAUCCUGUGACAUCCCCUGAAGGGGAACUCAUGCAAUGACUUGGCUCAUCAGCAAGAGAUCAGCGAGGAAGAGAAAAUUUUUGUCAAGAGUUUUGUGAAUAACAAGAAUAUGUUGAACAAGUAUAGCACCUUUUGUCUGAGGAUCUGUGUGUUUUAAACAUGAAUGCACAGACCUUUGAAACAUCCCUAAGAGAUAGCUAUUAUCACUCCAUUUAAAAAUGGAGAAAUUGUGGGUCAAAGAAGUUAAGUGUUUUGCCCAAGGCCAAGUAAAAAGUCUGGGACAGAGCUGGGAAGAGAAUACAGAUCUUCUAAAUCCCAGUCCUGUGCUUAACCACUUGAACAACCUUUCCCAAGUUAGUCUUUUCCCCUGGUUCAAAGAUAGCAAUUUUGUCAGGUGAACUAGAAGAGAUUCCAUCUGGAUAAUUCAGCCGAAACUGCUAUGUUCUCGUGUGUGUCUGAGGCAUGCUGAGAUUAAGACAAAAGCCAACAAAACUGAAUGUUUACAUUAUUUAAUUGUUUUCCAGUCAACAGCAAUUUUUAUUUUCUGAAAUCAGUGGUCAGAAUAUGUGGCUCCUUCUAUGAAAUACCAGGAAGAGAACACACAUGUGCUGGGAAUUUCAAAGGAGACCAAGGGGGUUAGGCACUCAAAUACCACUGAAAUGCAAUGGGAACUGGGUGCAUAAAUCCCUUGGGUUCUUUUGAAAAUCCCAGCCACAAUUGGCUACGCUACAGCUGAGGGAAAACAACCAUCAAGAAGAACUGCCAUGGACAGAAAACUGCCUGCAAAGAACUUAAGGUUCACCCAGUUCCAUGAGUGGCUCUGGACACAGGUGACCCAGAGCACGAGUCAUUCAAAAGCUCUUGAACAAUGACCCUCAUGAGUGCAUUAACAUUCUGUGCAUUUGUCACAGGUGUUGAUCAACAAAAUUUUGAGAGCUAAAGAUUUGUCCAGAGAAGUGUAAUGGGGAUAAAUGAACUCCUCAUGUGAGAAGAGCGCAAUGGCCUUGCUAGGCAUUAGUGACAUUUGCGCAUUAGGGAAAUAUACUUGAUUGGGGGCUGUUUUGUUUACCCAUGUUUUAUGUAUGCAGAAGAAGGGCUGAAAGUUUUUUGGCAUCACAUGCAAGUGAAUUGGAUAGCAGACUAAGUGGUUACAGAGUGAGACUCUUCUAGGACUGGAGAUACUGGUAAAUGGCUAUGGAUCCAGACUCUUCUAGGACUGGAGAUACUGGUAAAUGGCUAGGGAUCCAGACUCUUCUAGGACCUAAAGUCAUUAUAACCUGAAGAACAUUUUGCAGCCUAUGUGAAAGUGAGUUGAUGGUCACAGCCCAUUUCCCCAUAGACAGGUGAACCCAUCACAGAAGCCAACAUUUCAAAACCACUAGCUGUCACCUUGUUGACAGUCUCAGGGGUGAGGCAAGGAAUGAGCAGGCCAUGAAGACUGAACUACUUUCAAACCCCUAGGGGUGGGAGAUCCUGCCAGACCAUGGUUGGAUGAUGCAAUGAUGUCUCCACUGCUACUCUCCAUGAUAUAGUUGGUGUGGGAACCUCACAUCUCUCUCCAAGGCUGUCUGCCUGGUAGCUACUAUUACUGCUUAUUAUUACUUAAGCUGAGAACUGUACAGAUGGGUAUGUGUCCCCUUAAAAGCCAAUAUAACCACUUCGAAAAAACUUUGGGGAAAAAGAAAAUGCAGUCCCUGUGGGAGAACAUUAGAAUCUUAUUCCUACUUGUCACGGUUCAUAACAGAAGCCCUCUACACCUUGCUCCCUAGAUCUAGUAUUAAAUCCUUCAGAUAUCUACAAAUUAUUAUGCUGAUAUUGCUUUUAAGGUCAAGGUUUAAAGUAUAAUGUGGAUCUUACAAGAAACUCUAGUGAUUGAUGUAAUAUAUCAGGUACUUGCCUUGAAAAAAAGAGUAUUAUUCAGCUGCCUCCACUGGAAGAUUAAAAGGGUGGGGGGCGAAGAAGUUGCCUAGCUGGUUAAAUGAAGGGUGGUUGUUCUCAAUGGUCAAUGUUGCAAUGAAAUCACUAUAAAAAAUAGCAACUGAUAUUGAACUUGCUUGCAACAUCUUCUGAUCCCUCUAAUACAUGUCUCCAGGCAGCAAUUCUCUCUUCACAUCAAUAACCUUGUUACACCAGCUGGUUUCAAAUACUAGCAAUUUCCAAAAUCAUCUUUGAAAGCUGCUUUCUGUACACUCUGCUCUGCAUGUUUUUGAAACUCCUCAGACAAUGCAGGAAAUUGCUUUUUAUAUUUGCUAAAGGUCCAAGCCACCAGAAGGAAGGUUGCUCCCAUCUCAUGCAAUUUCUCUCAUUAUUUCAGGUGCUAACGUUGGUUUGCAAGCACAAGUAUUUGAACCUGAUGAACGAUACAACAGGAACAGUGAAAUUGGAUAUUAUCAUGCAGAAAACAUUUUGCUGUAGGAACAUAGACUCAACUAUACCUAAUCAGGCCACUAGUCCAACAAUAGCCUGAGCUCUCCAGUAGCUAAUACCCAAUAUUUCAUAGGAAAGUGAAGGAAACCCCAGAGCACUAAGAUAAUUGUUCACCGCUGUAUAUGGAGAAAAAUAUCCUUCCUGCCCCCGAGGCUGACCAGCUCAUGCUUUCACACAUAUAAUAGUAAUACCCUCAUUAUAAUGCAGACAGACUCAGGAUAUUGUUUCCUAAUCUAUAUUUACAGUAUGCACUCAGGCAUCCAAUAUGGAGACCCAGUAGUGGACUAUGCACAGAGUUAUUAUUGGCUAUAUAUAGCCAAUCUUUUAAAAAUACAGCCACAAUAUUUGACUUGUAUGGUAUUGUCCAGGCUCCAGGAGCUGUAUUUUAGAAGUUGAUUAUUUCCUCAGUAGAGGAGUAGAGAGCAGACAAACUUAGGAUAUUGUUUGCUAGUCUAUAUUUACAGUAUGUACUCAGGCAUCCAACAUGGGGACCCAGUAGUAGACUGUGCACAAAAUAUAUUAGUGAGAGGUCAGCAUUGGAGAUGCUUCAGACUCACUUCAGUCCAGUGGCUGACAUAGCCUCUCUCAGCGCUAAUGUAUCUCCCUGGGGAAGAAGAUCAGAGAGUUUGACUGGCUCCUCCCUUUCCCCACUCCGCUGCAAGGUCCCCAUAAAGGUUGCAAAGAGACAGCAGAGUUGCAGGCUAAGUCCCACAAAAUGCCGGUUGUUGCUUUGCAAAAGGAUGGAUAAAACAGGAAAAGCAGCAGCAAAGCUUACUCAAGAUACAGCUAAGUUGAAGUAAAACACUGCCACUGGGAUAAGUGAAUGGAGAAUGCAGAUUUGGUAGCACUUUACCCCCACUUUUUACACAUGUAAAUGAGUACAUAAGUACAAGGCCGUGGAGGAUCAGGCCCCAAACAUGCAAGUACCCCCCAGCAUAGAAUGCUGCUCUUAGGGCAGUUUGCUGGGAAUGUAUCGGAAAUUUAAUGAUGGAGAUGUAGAGAAAGCAAACAGCUUCGGUGUAUGUAAGCAGUCCCGGGUUUACAAUGGCUCCAGUGGCUCCAUGGAGCCGGGCCCAUGCUCAGAAGGGGCCCUGGCCUGCUCCACUUGCAUUGUGCCCUGAGAUCCCUCUGGCUCCCCCUGCCCACCCCCUGCUCCUCUUGGCCUGCCCCCCUGCUCCUUUCUGCCCCCUGGCUGGACCCUAGUGCACUUCCGGCUCCGGGCAGUCUGCUUCCCACCACCUGUAGGACCCCACCUGUCCUCCAGGAGCUGAGCAGCCUGGGACUGGUGCAGAAGCCUGGCCAGUCUCAG